rnacentral:rRNA from 1 species
UACGGAGGGCGCUAGCGUUGUUCGGAAUUACUGGGCGUAAAGCGCACGUAGGCGGUUAUUCAAGUCAGAGGUGAAAGCCCGGGGCUCAACCCCGGAACUGCCUUUGAAACUAGAUGACUAGAAUCUUGGAGAGGUCAGUGGAAUUCCGAGUGUAGAGGUGAAAUUCGUAGAUAUUCGGAAGAACACCAGUGGCGAAGGCGACUGACUGGACAAGUAUUGACGCUGAGGUGCGAAAGCGUGGGGAGCAAACAGG